GAAAUAAACCUGAUGGGUUGCUGCUGGCUCUCUCGGGGGCAUGUGCACACUUGUCAUUUUUAUAUCUCCACCUGUGCACCUUUUGUAGAUCUGGAUAUCUUUCUGAAUGCCUGGCAUUCAGGUUUGAGGAUUGACUUUUGUCUUUCCUUACAUUUCCAGGCCUAUGUUUUCUUCAUAUACCCCAUGUAUGUUAUAGAAUGUAAUGAAAAGGGCCUUUGUGCCUACAAACCUAUACAACUUUCAGCAACGGAUCUCUUGGCUCU
rnacentral:misc_RNA from 1 species